rnacentral:rRNA from 1 species
GACGAACGCUGGCGGCGUGCUUAACACAUGCAAGUCGAACGGAAAGGCCCUGCUUUUGUGGUGUGCUCGAGUGGCGAACGGGGGAGUAACACGUGAGUAACCUGCCCUUGACUUUGGGAUAACUUCAGGAAACUGGGGCUAAUACCGGAUAGGAGCUCCUGCUGCAUGGUGGGGGUUGGAAAGUUUCGGCGGUGGGGGAUGGACUCGCGGCUUAUCAGCUUGUUGGUGGGGUAGUGGCUUACCAAGGCUUUGACGGGUAGCCGGCCUGAGAGGGUGGCCGGCCACAUUGGGACUGCGAGACGGCCCAGACGCCUACGGGAGGCAGCAGUGGGGAAUAUUGCACAAUGGGCGGAAGCCGGAUGCAGCAACGCCGCGUGCGGGAUGACGGCCUGCGGGUUGUAAACCGCUUUCGCCUGUGACGAAGCGUGAGUGACGGUAAUGGGUAAAGAAGCACCGGCUAACUACGUG